rnacentral:rRNA from 1 species
CCUACGGGAGGCAGCAGUAGGGAAUCUUUCACAAUGGGCGAAAGCCUGAUGGAGCAACGCCGCGUGCAGGAUGAAGGCCUUCGGGUUGUAAACUGCUUUUAUAAGCGAGAAAUAUGAUGGUAACUUAUGAAUAAGGAUCGGCUAACUACGUGCCAGCAGCCGCGGUCAUACGUAGGAUCCGAGCAUUAUCCGGAGUGACUGGGUGUAAAGAGUUGCGUAGGUGGCAUAAUAAGUAGCUAGUGAAAUCUGGUGGCUCAACCAUUCAGACUAUUAGCUAAACUGUUAAGCUCGAGACCGUUAGGGGUAACUGGAAUUUCUAGUGUAGGAGUGAAAUCCGUAGAUAUUAGAAGGAACACCAAUAGCGUAGGCAGGUUGCUGGGACGGUUCUGACACUAAGGCACGAAAGCGUAGGGAGCAAACGGGAUUAGAUACCCCUGUAAUA